rnacentral:rRNA from 1 species
CCCUUAGAUGUUCUGGGCCGCACACGCGCUACACUGAAGGAGGCAGCGUGUACUCCUGGAUCGAAAGAUUUGGGUAACCCGCGAAUCUCCUUCGUGCUAGGGAUUGAGGUUUGCAAUUAUCCUUCAUGAACGAGGAAUUCCCAGUAAGUGCAAGUCAUAAGCUUGCGCUGACUACGUCCCUGCCCUUUGUACACACCGCCCGUCGCACCUACCGAUUGAAUGGUCCGGUGAAAUCUUCGGAUCUGAGAGAUGUCUGAUUAAUUUCGGACGCCUUUUGGAAAAGUUGCUUAAACCUUACCAUUUAGAGGAAGGUGAANUCGUANCA